UCCUGAUCUCCCACUCCUGUUGUGAA
rnacentral:piRNA from 1 species